UACAGAGGGGGCAAGCGUUGUUCGGAAUUACUGGGCGUAAAGGGCGCGUAGGCGGCCUGCUAAGUCGAACGUGAAAUCCCCGAGCUCAACUCGGGAACUGCGUCCGAUACUGACAGGCUUGAAUCCGGGAGAGGGAUGCGGAAUUCCAGGUGUAGCGGUGAAGUGCGUAGAUAUCUGGAGGAACAUCGGUGGCGAAGGCGGCAUCCUGGACCGGUAUUGACGCUGAGGCGCGAAAGCCAGGGGAGCAAAGCGGG
rnacentral:rRNA from 1 species